AUCUCCCUCCUUUCUUCCUCCUUGGGGCCUCUUGCCCCAUGGGGUUCCCCCUUCUUCCGCUACUCCGCGUGGGUGAAGGAGUACUUCGGUACGUAAAGCCCUAUCAGCAGGAAAGAAAAUGACGGUACCUGACUAAGAAGCCCCGGCUAACUACGUGCCAGCAGCCGCGGUAAUACGUAGGGGGCAAGCGUUAUCCGGAUUUACUGGGUGUAAAGGGAGCGUAGACGGCAGUGCAAGUCCGGAGUGAAAGCCCGGGGCUCAACCCUGGGACUGCUCUGGAAACUGUAAAGCUGGAGUGCGGGAGG
rnacentral:rRNA from 1 species